rnacentral:rRNA from 1 species
AUAAUGGGUCAGCGACUUAUAUUCUGUAGCAAGGUUAACCGAAUAGGGGAGCCGAAGGGAAACCGAGUCUUAACUGGGCGUUAAGUUGCAGGGUAUAGACCCGAAACCCGGUGAUCUAGCCAUGGGCAGGUUGAAGGUUGGGUAACACUAACUGGAGGACCGAACCGACUAAUGUUGAAAAAUUAGCGGAUGACUUGUGGCUGGGGGUGAAAGGCCAAUCAAACCGGGAGAUAGCUGGUUCUCCCCGAAAGCUAUUUAGGUAGCGCCUCGUGAAUUCAUCUCCGGGGGUAGAGCACUGUUUCGGCAAGGGGGUCAUCCCGACUUACCAACCCGAUGCAAACUGCGA